GUCCUAGCUUCGGCUGGACAUAUACUAAAAUUGGAACGAUACAGAGAAGAUUAGCAUGGCCCCUGUGCAAGGAUGACAUUUUAAAAAAAAUAGUACCACCGGUUUAA